GCAGUAGUGGUUCAGUGGUAGAAUUCUUGCCUUCCAUGUGAGAGACCUGGGUUCAAUUCCUGGCCAAAGCA
rnacentral:tRNA from 1 species